rnacentral:lncRNA from 1 species
GAUCACACAUGCCUCAGCACGCAUAGGUUACUUUGCCUGCUUGCAAAUGUGUGCUAAAAGUGGGGAUGCUUCAUAGUAUUUCUGAUUAUCUUAACUCACCACCAUCAAUUAAUUUUAUUUUUCACAGAUAUCCAUGGAACCACGACUGCAAUAUAGGCCUACACUCAGAUAAAAAGCCGGAUUUGUCGUCCACCCAACCUGUCCUUCCUGUGUGCGACCGAUGUUUGGUUGCGCUGAGAUUUGAGGCACUGUGUGCCUGGAGGCUCACUGGAUGGCACUGGAUCUCUUAGCGCAGUUCACCCUGCCACAUCGGCCAAACAUGCAUCACAUUUUUUAAGGGAUGUCUUACACAAUAAAACUAAACUUAUUAAAAAUAUAUAUAUUUUCGAUUUACAACAUUUUAAUUUGUGCCUAUAUGCAACAUUUUUGCUCUCAUUUCAGAUGUUAGUGGCAAGAAGCUGCUGCUCUGGCACUGGUGAUGGAUGAUAAUGGCAGUCUGGUGCUUGCAUGGAUCACCUUUUCAUCCCACUGGACAAUUGCACAUCUCCAUAUACAUGUCCACUAUGUAGAUCUGGCCAGGUGAGGACGAGCGCUUCACUUCAAAGUGCAUGUCAUUGAUCUGUGAAUAGACCACCCAUACAUAAAAUGUAUGCACGCAUGUCUAAGCCGCUUUGGCUUCAUAGUAAGCUGACAGACGAGUGGUCAAGAAGUCAAAGAGCUGGGGGACGUUAUAAGCAUUUGUUCCAGGCAGAAUUUUAUCCUUUUAGAUCCUCUUGGCCGAUUCUGCAAAGUUGUUAGUGCCAUUUCCUCUCACUGGCAUGGUUUUUCAGUAGCACAGGGCACAAUAUUCUCUGCGGUAGUAGAGCUUUUCCAGGUCGUUCUUGAGGUGCUGAUACCUGCAAAGUUGAACACAAGAUUAAAUUAAAGGAUAAUUUGAUGUAUAAAAUGAAUACAUAAUGAAUUAUUAUUAUUAUUAUUAUAAUAUACACAUACCAAGAUAAUGCCCAAACCCCUGUCAGGAAAUGAACCAAAAUUAAAUGAAUUGUAUUUGCAUUCAAACAUCUUUUGUAACCCAUAAGGCAUAUGCUAAACUGAAGUACUGUGCACGUGUGGUCCAAUGAGUAAAAAACAGUAGUACAACCUUUCCUGUGGCAGUCCUCAUGAGAGCCAGUUUCAUCAUAGCGCUUGAUGGUUUUUUCGACUGCACAUGAAGAAACUUUCAAAGUUCUUGAAAUGUUCUAGAUUGACUGUGCUUCAUGCCUUAAAGUAAUGAUGGACUGUCGUUUCUCUUUGCUUAUUUGAGCUGUUCUUGCCAUAAUAUGGACUUGGUCUUUUACCAAAUAGGGAUAUCUUCUGUAUACCACUCCUACCUUGUCACAACACAACUGAUUGGCUCAAACACAUUAAGAAGGAAAGAAAUUCCACAAAUGAACUUUUAACCAAGGCACACCUGUUAAUUGAAAUACAUUCCAGGUGACUACCUCAAAGCUGGUUGAGAGAAUGCCAAGUGUGCAAAGCUGUCAUCAAUGCAAAGGGUGGCUACUUUGAAGAAUUUCAAAUAUAAAAUAUAUUUUGAUUUGUUUAACACUUUUUUGGCUACUACACGAAUCCAUGUGUUAUUUCAUUGCUUUGAUGUAUUCACGAUUUUUCUACAAUGUAGGAAAUAGUAAAAAUAAAGAAAAACUCUUGAAUGAGUAGGUGUGUGCAAACGUUUGACUGGCACUGUAUAUCUGAGGAUACAUCAUCAAUUAUUACCUUUUCUUGAUCCUAUCUGAGUUCGCCAUCUUCAACAGCUGCCCGGGAUACAAUCUGGCGUAACUGUCGCAGUUUUGCUCUUUUAUUUCGCUUCACCUUAGUCAAAACAAAGCGCUCGAGGUAAAAUAUGGCUCGGCACCGUAGUCAAAACCGCUCACAAGACUCGAACCUAACGACCAGCAGCCAAUUGCAACACUUCAGCGGAGGCGUGUCUUGUCCAGAAGACGAGUGUGAAAUCAAAUAUCGCCAUCUUGUGUCCAUCAUUGGACAGUGUUUGCUGGUUUCCACUAGUUACCACAGCCACAAAGUAUGAGUGUAUGAUUUAUUUUUUGGAGGUCUUAAUUUAAGUUUAGGGUUAGGCAUAAGUAUAGCAGUGUGGUUAAUGUUAGGUUUAAAAUCAGACAUUAAUAAGAUAAUUUGAAAUAGACAGGGUUUAUGACUUUGUGACUGUUGUAACUAGUGGUGACCGCGUUUACAGGCGUUGUGCCAAAAAUCUCCCCCCGACAGAAUUCCCCCCUUCGCUUGAACGCGCACGCAAUCAAAUCUUCACUGCUGCGAUUUGCUUGCUAGUUGAGAUUUCUGAUCACGUUAGGCUGCGUUUCAUUUUUUUGUCUUUUUUCGGUUUGAUCGUGGGGGAAACACUAAUAUCUGUAGUUUUCCCAUGUCCUAUUCAUCUAGUAGUUGUUCUGAAAUGUUUAUUGCUUGCCUACAUUUGACUCCCUCUAUGUUUAAUAUAACACACAUACAUUAAUGAUUAAUUUCGGUUGCCUAUCCUGAAGUGAAGUUUGUUCUAUAGAACGUAUUAAGGUAUUAAAGAAAUUAGAAGGGGGGGGGGGGGGGGGGGGGGGAUUUCGGCAGGCAAAAAAAUGGCCUUGCCGAAAUCCCCCACCCCCCUUCUUUCUAAUUUCCUUAAUUCUGUGGCUAAAGUCAAAUACUUUCUGUGGCACACAUCAGAGUCAAAUACUUUCUAUAGAACAAACUUCAACAUUAAUAAUUAAUCUGUGUGUUACAUUAAACAUAGAGAAGGGAGUCAAAUUUAGGCAAGCAAUAAACAUUUCAGAAUAAUUACUAGUCUAAUAAGACAUGGGAGAGAUGACGAAUUUGGGCAAAUAUAUUUAUUUAUAGACUAAUACACAAAUAGCCAAACCGAAAACUGCAGACAUUACUAGUGCCUCCCCUGCACCAAACCGACAUAGAACAAAUUAAAUGCAGUCUAACGUGAUCAGAAAUCUCAACUAGCAAGUAAGUCGCAGCAAUGAAGUAUUGAGUGCGUGCGCGUUCACGCGAAGGGAGGGGGGAGAUUUUCGCCACAACACCGGAAACCUCACAAGUCGCAGGCAGGUUUGACGGCAACGCAAGUCACAGGUGACAACGCCACGCGGCUGAGACAGACCUUUAUGGGCAUUCAUUUGUUUAUUGUUUUUUUCAAAUGAGUUUUUAAGGGAACCUGGUGAUAGGACAGGCUCAUUUGUACAUAGGCCUUUGUGUGCUGUCUCUCUUGAAAGUGUUCCUACAUAGACUUUUACAACAAGAAGUUGAAUGCCCCGGACGGACGGCUUUCUGCAUUGUUCGCAUAGGAAUCGAAAGUUAAAUGACGCUGUCACGAAAUACAUAAGGUAGGUGGUGAUAAUGAAACGAACCUGACAGAGCAACACAAGAAGCCCACACCUAAUCAGACGUGUGUUGCUGGUAACGACUGAAUGAAAACAACAAUUUCACU